GACGAACGCUGGCGGCGUGCUUAACACAUGCAAGUCGAACGGAAAGGCCUCUUUCGGGGGGUACUCGAGUGGCGAACGGGUGAGUAACACGUGAGUAACCUGCCCUUGACUUUGGGAUAACUUCAGGAAACUGGGGCUAAUACCGGAUAGGAGCUCCUGCUUCAUGGUGGGGGUUGGAAAGUUUCGGCGGUUGGGGAUGGACUCGCGGCUUAUCAGCUUGUUGGUGGGGUAGUGGCUUACCAAGGCUUUGACGGGUAGCCGGCCUGAGAGGGUGACCGGCCACAUUGGGACUGAGAUACGGCCCAGACUCCUACGGGAGGCAGCAGUGGGGAAUAUUGCACAAUGGGUGGAAGCCUGAUGCAGCAACGCCGUGUGCGGGAUGACGGCCUUCGGGUUGUAAACCGCUUUCGCUCAUGACGAAGCUUUGUGUGACGGUAGUGGGUAAAGAAGCACCGGCUAACUACGUG
rnacentral:rRNA from 1 species